UAUGGAAGGGAACAGGCCCACAGUGA
rnacentral:piRNA from 1 species